UACGUAGGGUGCGAGCGUUGUCCGGAAUUAUUGGGCGUAAAGAGCUCGUAGGCGGUUUGUCGCGUCGACUGUGAAAACCUACAGCUUAACUGUGGGCUUGCAGUCGAUACGGGCAGACUUGAGUUCGGUAGGGGAGACUGGAAUUCCUGGUGUAGCGGUGGAAUGCGCAGAUAUCAGGAGGAACACCGAUGGCGAAGGCAGGUCUCUGGGCAGUUACUGACGCUGAGGAGCGAAAGCAUGGGGAGCGAACAGG
rnacentral:rRNA from 1 species